GCUUACGGUCAUACCACCCUGAAUGCGCCCGAUCUCGUCUGAUCUCGGAAGCUAAGCAGCAUCAGGCCUAGUUAAUACUUGGAUGGGUGAACUCCUGGGAAUACCAGGUACUGUAAGCU
rnacentral:rRNA from 1 species